GUACAAGUGUAAAUACUAAAUAGUGUAAUUGAUUUAUCAUCUUCUUAUGAUGAUAUUUAAUGAUAUUAUUUAAUAUUAUAAUUAUUGAUUUUAAACACUAAAAGUAAAAGACAAAAGUCAUGAAAGUGCAACAUUCUCAUCAUUCUGAGUUCAUUGUAACAACUUAUUUAGUUACAACACAAAUACUGAAGUAGAAGUAGUUUCAAGUAGAGAUCUAGAUCUACUUACUUCUAGAUUCUAUCUAGACUUAUAUGUCUUUUUUGUCACAAAUUAGUGACAAUUGAAUUUGAAGUGUUUAAUAAGUUUAUAGAUCUAAUUAAAGUAGUUUUGAAAAUGAAUCUCUUGUAAUGGGUGGUGAUAAAUGUGCUAUUCUUGGCUGCUCUUCCACUAGAAGUAGAUGCAAAGGUGUGUCGUUUUUCAAGUUACCUAAGUUGGGUAAAGGAAUAGAAAGAGAUAAAUGGGCAAAGCAGUUAGUAUUAUCAAUAAAUAGAUCUGACAAGAAAUUUGAUCCCAACAAGGCUAGGAUUUGCUCACUACAUUUUCAACCGUCUUGCAUUAGAACAGGCACCACAGGAAAAAGAUUCUUAUUACCUGGGAGUAUACCGACUGAGUUGAUGCCUACCAUUGCACUGCCAAAUACGAAAAACAGUCACAGGAAUCCACCAGUAAAUACAUUAUUUAUUUUUUUACAAUACUUGCUUCAAAAUAGGUUACUUCCAUGUUAAGAAAUAUUUAAAGGUCUCUUCUAAAUGUUUUUACUCAUUGGUAUAGCCAGGGGAAUGGGUUUUUUGGAGUUCAACCUCACCCACCAAAAAGGACAUGUGAGUGUAAGGGGAUUAGUGACUUAUUUUGUUGAAAUUCAUUUAAUUGGAAGGGAGAUUUUAAUGUUAAUUAUCACUUGCCCUAGCAUUGCAAAUGGAAUUGUGAGAUAAACCAUGAGCGUAUUUCAAUUUAACCCGCCAGUCUAAAACCUUCCUCAAUCCCUCCAGGGGAUGGGAUAUUGAGGCUAGAACACCAAUUCAAUUAUAUGUGUUACAAAAAACAAAAAAAAACAAAGGCAAGAUAGUCACCAAAUCCAAUGAGUAUAGGGGUAAGUGGGGUUUUCAGUUUAAAAAAUUCUAUAGAUAGAAUUGGGUUUAAAAAACCCCUCUUUAAUUAAAGAAAAAAAAAAGAAAAUAAUAAAUUGUAUUGUGUGUGUGUGCACAAAAGUUUUUUUUUUUUAAGUAACCCCCCCCCCUCAUUUGCUCCCGCCCUCCCAACAAAAAACAUGGCUACACACAUGCCUGUUAUUAUAAAUUUAUUAUAUAUAUAUAUGUUACUGGCGAAUGGAUUAGGGAGAGGUUAAACAUAUGUUAAACAUAUAUUAGUUUGUCCUUUCAGUUAAGUUUAGGGUUGCAGGAUGUACAUGUGUGUAUCAGUCAACUUCCAUGUAAAAUGUUUGUAUUUUAUGUUCAUAUGUUUAAAAGUUAAAAUAUUAUAGUACUGUCAUUAGAUGUAUUAAACAUAUAUCCCAUAUA